UUUUGGUUAAGCUACUAAGAGCUUACGGUGGAUGCCUUGGCAGCAAUAGGCGACGAAGGACGCGGCAAGCUGCGAUAAGCCUCGGGGAGCCGCAAGCAGGCUUUGAUCCGGGGAUUUCCGAAUGGGGAAACCCUCCCGGAGUAAUGUCCGGGAAUCCCGCCUUGGCGGGAAGCGACACUGGGAGAAGUGAAACAUCUCAGUAACCCAUGGAAGAGAAACCGAAAUGGUAUUCCCUGAGUAGUGGCGAACGAAACGGGAACAGCCUAAACCUCCUGUGGAGUAUAGCCUGCACGCGUUUUCACGGGGGGGGUUGAGGGAGUUGGUCGCCCUGUGGUGCAGACCAGAGGGCCUGUUACAAACCGAACCUGUAGCCGAAUCCCCUGGAAAGGGGAAUCAUAGAAGGUGAUAAUCCUGUAGGCGAAACGGGCGAGGCAGGCUGGACCAGCCACCCAAGUAACACGGGACACGUGAAAUUCCGUGUGAAUCCGGGCCGACCACGGCCUAAGGCUAAAUACUCAUUGCUGACCGAUAGUGAACCAGUACCGUGAGGGAAAGGUGAAAAGUACCCCGGUGAGGGGAGUGAAAUAGUACCUGAAACCGUGAGCUUACAAGCAGUCGGAGCACUAUAGUCCGGCGCGCAAGCGACGGACGAUGUGUGACGGCGUGCCUUUUGCUUAAUGAGCCGGCGAGUUGCUAUGCGCGGCAAGACUAACCCGUAAGGGGCAGUCGCAGCGAAAGCGAGUCCGAAUAGGGCGGCCAAAGUCGCGCGGAGCAGACCCGAAGCCGGGUGAUCUACCCAUGGCCAGGGCGAAACUUCGGUAACACGAAGGGGAGGCCCGAACCUUUGCACGUUGAAAAGUGUCUGGAUGAGCUGUGGGUCGGAGUGAAAAGCUAAUCGAACUCGGUGAUAGCUGGUUCUCCCCGAAAUAGCUUGAGGGCUAGCCUCGCAAAAUGGACAGCGGAGGUAGAGCACUGAAUGGUCUAGGGGUCUUACCGGACUACCAAACCCAAUCAAACUCCGAAUUCCGCUGCACCUUAUUGCGGGAGUCAGACAGCGGGGGAUAAGCUUCGUUGUCGAGAGGGAAACAGCCCAGAUCGUCAGCUAAGGCCCCAAAAUGCGGGUUAAGUGCGUAAGGAUGUGGAAUUGCUAAGACAGCUAGUAUGUUGGCUUAGAGGCAGCCAUCAUUUAAAGAGUGCGUAACAGCUCACUAGUCGAGUAAUUCCGCGCCGAUAAUGCUCGGGACUCAAGCCCGCUGCCGAAGCUACGGAUGUCGAUGUCCUGCAUCGACAAUCUCAACCACCCCACGGACGCGCUCCUGGAUGGAGCGGCGUCUCUUCCGGGGACAGGGAUUUGGGAUUUUCGAUGCAGGGCGUCGGCGUGGUAGGGGAGCGUUCCGCACGCGUCGAAGCCGUACCGCAAGGAGCGGUGGAGCGUGCAGAAGUGCUUAUGCCGGCAUGAGUAGCGAUAAUCCCGUUGAGAAAACGGGACGCCGAAAACCCAAGGUUUCCUGGGGAAGGUUAAUCCGCCCAGGGUUAGUCGAUACCUAAGUCGAGGCCGAAAGGCGUAGAUGAUGGAUGAGCCGUUAAUAUUCGGCUACUACCUUGACGGCGUUGUCGGGCGCAAGCCCGGCAGUGCUAUGGAGUCGCGCAGGAGGCUAGGUCAGCCCCCGAUCGGAAGUGGGGGUCCAAGCCUGUAGAGGGUCCCGGCAGGAAAAUCCACCGGGACAUCAACCUCAAGGGGUGACGGGACGCCGAUCCCACGGGAGAGGCGGAUUGAUCGAUGCCACGCUGCCAAGAAAAGGCUUCUAUGCAGUCGUCAGGGUAAUCGUACCGUAAACCGACACAGGUGGGAGGGGUGAAUAUCCUAAGGCGCUCGAGAGAACCCUCGUUAAGGAACUCGGCAAUCUAGCCCCGUAACUUCGGAAGAAGGGGUGCCCUUUCCCGUGAGAUCCUCGCGGAUGGAGCGGGAUGGGGCCGCAGUGAAAGGGUCCAGGCGACUGUUUACUAAAAACACAGGUCUCUGCUAAGUCGAAAGACGAUGUAUAGAGACUGACAAGUGACCAAUGCCGAAAGGUUAAGGUGAGGGGUCAGCUCGCGAUUAUAUCAAGGGCAAAGCUCUGAACCGAAGCCCCGGUGAAUGUCGGCCGUAACUAUAACGGUCCUAAGGUAGCGAAAUUCCUUGUCGGGUAAGUUCCGACCUGCACGAAUCGUGUAACGAUCUGGGCGCUGUCUCAACG
rnacentral:rRNA from 1 species